AUUGAACGCUGGCGGCAGGCCUAACACAUGCAAGUCGAGCGGAUGAAGGGAGCUUGCUCCUGGAUUCAGCGGCGGACGGGUGAGUAAUGCCUAGGAAUCUGCCUGGUAGUGGGGGAUAACGUCCGGAAACGGGCGCUAAUACCGCAUACGUCCUGAGGGAGAAAGUGGGGGAUCUUCGGACCUCACGCUAUCAGAUGAGCCUAGGUCGGAUUAGCUAGUUGGUGGGGUAAAGGCCUACCAAGGCGACGAUCCGUAACUGGUCUGAGAGGAUGAUCAGUCACACUGGAACUGAGACACGGUCCCGACUCCUACGGGAGGCAGCAGUGGGGAAUAUUGGACAAUGGGCGAAAGCCUGAUCCAGCCAUGCCGCGUGUGUGAAGAAGGUCUUCGGAUUGUAAAGCACUUUAAGUUGGGAGGAAGGGCAGUAAGUUAAUACCUUGCUGUUUGGACGUUACCAACAGAAUAAGCACCGGCUAACUUCGU
rnacentral:rRNA from 1 species